rnacentral:misc_RNA from 1 species
CAGAGUUAUCCAACUCCCAAACCCAUGUGAACUUAUCUCUUUGUUGCCUCGGCGCAAGCUACCGGGACCUCGCGCCCCGGGCGGCCCGCCGGCGGACAAACCAAAACUCUUGUUAUCUUAGUUGAUUAUCUGAGUGUCUUAUUUAAUAAGUCA